AUCUUAUAAAAUUACUCUUAGUUCGGAUUAAAAUCUGCAACUCGAUUUUAUGAAGUAGGAAUCGCUAGUAAUCGUAAAUCAGAAUGUUACGGUGAAUACGUUCUCGAGCCUUGUACACACCGCCCGUCACACCAUGGAAGUAAAUUGUAUCAUAAGUAAUUUUGUUAUUAUUAAGGUAUGAUUUGUAACUGGGGUGAAGUCGUAACAAGGUA
rnacentral:rRNA from 1 species